GGGAUGCAUGCGGUAUUGAACCUGAAAUUCCAAACAGGAAACACACGUCAUAAUAGCAACAUUCUUCAACAAACAAUUUUAAGAAAUAAACGUUGAAGACAAGAAAACUGCUGAUAACAAAGUAAAAAUAAUUAGCAUUAUUAAUAAUAUGCUCACAUAUCUGACGAAGAAAAUUUGUCUUUUGUCACAACCGUGACUACCACAGUACAACAUAAAUGUUAUGAAUUUUUUUAUUAUUAUAUUUUUAACAUCUUCAUCAGAGCUCCAAAAACCCUUUUUCCAAUUACUAUCAAUGUUAACAUCUGCAUCAGGACUAAAAUCUUGCCAUGCACCAAUAUUAGCAUUUGCAUCAUAACAAUCUUACCUAUGCACCAACAUCUAACUUGAAUUUUCUAAGAAUAUCAACAUUUAUAUCAGCAUCUAAGUUGAACUAUUAUACAUAACAACAUUGCAAAUGGUUUGAAUGUACUUAACAUAGAUGAUAGAUAUCAAACACAAGUAUACAUACAAACUAGAGACCAAGAUAAAUAUCUCAAGGCAUUUCACCUCAAUGACAUAUUCUUGCUUAAAGAAAUAAAUGAUCUCCCAUCCCACCAACAACCAAACUUAACUGAGAAAUAUAAUGUUACGUAUGGUUCAAAUGUAUUUUCUCCACUGCAUCAUACAAGAGUGCAUUUACAAACCAGAAAUCAUAAUCAAUAUAUUAGGAUGCUUCACCUCUAGAACAAAACAAACAAACUUUCACAUACACAUAAAGAAAGCCAAAUGCAAAAAGAGCAAAUGAAAAACAGGAACAUUACCUGCAAUCUAAUAGGUUUCACA
rnacentral:misc_RNA from 1 species